rnacentral:lncRNA from 1 species
CCUCAAGCAUAGUACAUGUGUAUGUUGAGCCAGCACAAGUAGAAGUGUGAGCGUCGUAGUGUGCAUGAGCACAAGUAGCAACUGGGUCGCAGUGUGGCCGAGCAGAGAGCUUAAACUAGCGUGGUAGUGAACUAUCAAGUAGGACACAAGCUUAAACUAAUUUGGCUACAUGGAUACACCAUGUUAACUACAAAAACAUAAUUGAAUUGCACGUAACUACAUGGUUAUAUCAAUGAUUCACAGUAAGCAAACAACCCUAUGCCACUGUCAAGGACACAAUCCUCCCGUGUCCACUGUCAAGUGCAUGAAACAUACCGCCUCUGCACAAGCUAAGAACCUUCUCCCAGUGUUUGUUUCUUCAAAUACAACCAGCCUCUCAGAUGACUUGCCAUGCUUCUCACAGAGCACCAUCACAUCCCUCUCAAGACCCUUGUAAUCAGGGCCCUCAACGGGACCUGUGGAAUGAAAUCAAAGUUAACAAGAUGUGCAUAUGACAAGGAAACCAAAUCAAAGCAUUUUCCCAAGACAAAAACCAGAUAGAAAAAAAAAAUUCCACAAAUUAUCAUAACCUAACCCUAACCCUAGCUCACAGAAAAAAUGGAUGCUCACCUGGUUAAGGUCAUUGGUGGAGGAGGAGGAGUGCAUGUACGGGAUGCUAGAGGUGUCAUCGCUGCUUUGUGCUCCAAAACCAUGGCUGCGACGGACGGGUGGCGGGCGCAGGCGACGCGGCGACGGCAAGGGAGCAAGAAGAGACGAUGAAGACAAGAGUGGAUGCGGGUCUGGCUCGGUUGUCCAGCAGCGGGGGUGAACCGUCUCGAACGGACUUGUCAAGUCAGCGCGCGGACACACGCCCAUUGGCCAGCAUGGCACCUGACUUGUGGGGCCAACCGAUCAGAUUUAGCAUCAAUACGUAUAAACACCACUUUUAGCCCUAUUUGUAAUGUAUUGUCCCAGAGUUGGUAUUGAACUAAAAAAAUACCAGACUUGAUAUGAAUCUGCAUGUAAUGCCCCAAAUGUGGUACUUCUAUGCAAUUAACUCAUUGCGAAGAUAGGAUAUAGAUGGUCAGUAGGUGAUGGUAAGUUGAUUAGAUUUUGGGAAGACAACUAGCAUGCUAAUGCCCCAUUAGCUACCCAAUUCUGGAUUUGUAUUUUUAGUUAAUGAGAAGAAUAAAAUUAUUGCUGAA